rnacentral:rRNA from 1 species
UACGUAGGGGCGAGCGUUGUCCGGAAUUAUUGGGCGUAAAGGGUUCGUAGGCGGUAAUACAUGUCAGAUGUGAAAUCUUGUGGCUUAACCACAUCAAGCAUCUGAAACUGUAUAACUUGAGUGGAGGAGAGGUAAGUGGAAUUCCUAGUGUAGCGGUGAAAUGCGUAGAUAUUAGGAAGAAUACCAGUAGCGAAGGCGACUUACUGGCCUCUAACUGACGCUGAUGAACGAAAGCGUGGGUAGCAAACAGGAUUAGAUACCCGGGUAGU